rnacentral:rRNA from 1 species
AUGAACGCUGGCGGCGUGCCUAAUACAUGCAAGUCGAGCGAACGGACGAGAAGCUUGCUUCUCUGAUGUUAGCGGCGGACGGGUGAGUAACACGUGGAUAACCUACCUAUAAGACUGGGAUAACUUCGGGAAACCGGAGCUAAUACCGGAUAAUAUUUUGACCCGCAUGGUUCAAAAGUGAAAGACGGUCUUGCUGUCACUUAUAGAUGGAUCCGCGCUGCAUUAGCUAGUUGGUAAGGUAACGGCUUACCAAGGCAACGAUGCAUAGCCGACCUGAGAGGGGGAUCGGCCACACUGGAACUGAGACACGGUCCAGACUCCUACGGGAGGCAGCAGUAGGGAAUCUUCCGCAAUGGGCGAAAGCCUGACGGAGCAACGCCGCGUGAGUGAUGAAGGUCUUCGGAUCGUAAAACUCUGUUAUUAGGGAAGAACAUAUGUGUAAGUAACUGUGCACAUCUUGACGGUACCUAAUCAGAAAGCCACGGCUAACUACGUG